UUAUUCGCUCUUGAACGAGGAAUCCCUAGUAAGCACAAGUCACUAGCUUGUGCCGAUUACGUCCCUGCCCUUUGUACACACCGCCCGUCGCUACUACCGAUUGAAUGGCUUAGUGAGACCCUCGGAUCGACGAGUUGAAACCUGGCACGGGUAUCUAUUUGUUGAGAAGUUGGUCAAUCUUGGUCAUUUAGAGGAAGUAAAAGUCGUAACAAGGUUUCCGUAGGUGAACCUGCGGAAGGAUCAUUACCAACCUUUGGUGAGCCUUGGACUCUUCCAUGGUCUCGCGAAACCUGUAUUUAAAACCCGCUCAUAUAACUUAAAACAUGUGGUUGACGUAUGAUAAUUAAAGAUCACUUUCAACAACGGAUCUCUUGGCUCUCGCAUCGAUGAAGAACGUAGCGAAGUGCGAUAAGUAGUGUGAAUUGCAGAAUUCCGUGAAUCAUCGAAUUUUUGAACGCAAAUUGCACUUCCUGGUAUUCCGGGGAGUAUGCCUGUUUGAGGGUCAGCUUAAAUAAAAUCGGUAUGUUGCCUUUGACAUUUCGGAGUUGGGCUAUCAUAACUACACCAGGUUAAGAGGCCUGAAAUUCAUAUCUUUUUGCGCAUCCUGGACGUGUAUAAUUCAUUUAUUCGUCUUUGGGUGUCAAAUUUUAUUAGGUAUGGUCAUGCAUUGUGAACUCGUACCCAUAAUUUUUCGUAAUUUGACCUCAAAUCAGGUAAGGAUACCCGCUGAACUUAAGCAUAACAAUAAGCGGAGGAA
rnacentral:rRNA from 1 species